rnacentral:sRNA from 1 species
UAACAGCUCUGAUUUCUCAUGACUCACACUCUUCUGAAAAGAUUCAGGAAGAGGCUUAGGAAGGCCAUGUUGUCUGUCUUCCUGAGACUACACCUACUGAAAGAAGUUCUCAAGUUCUGAUUGAGUUCUAAAAGGUUUAGAAGAUUGGAAUUCUUCAUAGGCAAAAAGAGAAAAGAAAGACAUUCUUGAUUUUGGUGACUAGAGUUGUAGAUUCUGGAAAGCUUUGCCACUAAAAUUGACAAACCAGAUGCUCAUCACUGGCCAAUCACGCUGAUUCUUAAUGCCGGCACCAUGGCCCGGCACUGUCACAUUUUCCAAGGAACCUGCUGGAGCUCCUGUGGAAGCUUCUCCUUGGGCCGAUGAAGUCCCUUAGCUGGUAGGCCCUUCUUUAGUCACCACAGGAUGCCUGCCAUUCAUGAACAGGAAGGAGAGGAUGGGCUUUGAAUAAAAAACAGGAAUAUCCAGCCACUGGUGCACAGCCAUUGCCACUUGUGCCCCCAUGGGAUCUUGUCAACUCCAGUAUGUCCCCUCAGCACUAUCUGGCAUAAUAAA